rnacentral:lncRNA from 1 species
UCCAGCAUGACCCCUCGUUCACAAUCAAACUGCCUUUAACAUACAGGAGCACCAAAAGGCACAGGAGUGGACGCCAGCAGACUCAUUAGCACCUCCCCAGCAUCACCUCGGUCCACUUAACUGAAGAACAGCUGUUGAAGACGGCAAGAGCCAAAACAAUACCCAGUUCUCAACCAAAUAAGAUAUCUCUGAAAAGAGGAAAAAUGGUUGUGAGCUGCCAUUGUCCCAUUUUUAGGAGAAACUAUAGAAGGAACAGCAAGCAGUUACACAGAAAUGGUUUCACUUUGUCGUCCAGGCUGAAGAACAGUGACGUGAACACAGCUCACUGCAGCCUUGAUGUCUGGGGCGCAAGCAAUCCUCUCACCUCAGCGUCCCAAGAAGCUGGGACUACAGGCAUGUACCACUGCACCUGACUAAUUUUCAUAUUUUUUUGUAAAGAUAGGUUUCAUCAUGUUGCUCAGGUUGGUCCUGAACUCCUGAGCUUGAGUGAUCCACCCACCUCAGUCUCCCAAAGUGUUGGAAUUACGGGUGUCAGCCACCAAACCCAGCCCAGCCUGUUUUUUCCUAAAUGACCAGCCAAUUAACCCAACACCAUCUAUUGUGUAAGCAAUAUUUUACCCUGUGGACUUAAAAUGACAUCUUUAACAUGGAUUUAUUUCUGGGCUAUUUCUGCUUAAGUACCAAAUGUUUUUUAAUUCCUCUAUCUUUAUAAUAAAUUUUUGAUAAUAAGAAAUGCAAUGAUAUUUUAACAAGAUUUAGACCAGCCUGGCCAACAUGGUAAAACCCCUUGUCUACUAAAAAUACAAAAAUUAGCUGGGCGUGGUGAUGGGUGUGUGUAUUCCCAGCUACUCAGGAGGCAGAGGCAGGAGAAUUGCUUGAACCCUGGAGGCGGAGGUUGCAGUGAACUGAGAUCAUGCCAUUGCACUCCAGUCUGGGUGACAGAGCAAGUCUCUGUCACAAAAACAAAACAAAAAAUGAUUUAGUUGAUCACAGUGUGGAGGGAGUUGGGGAAGACACUGGAGACAAGGUAAUGAGUGAGAAGGCAGUUGAGUAACCCAGGCACGGCAGGAUAAAUGCUUCAAGGAAAAAGGACCUACCUUAUCAGCAGAAUUCCCUGACCUGUUGGAGUCUGGGGUCAAGAAGAACAAAGGAUGGGCCAGAUUCAAAGAUUAUCAUAAGAAGGAACUGAGCUUUUAUUCCUAUUGCAUUAAACUGAACUGAAUCAGUCUAAAGGUACAGUUUUGGGUACUGGGAGAAAGAUAUUAUCAUCAAACAGUCACAGCUUUGUAUAUCUUCACUUGGGAAUUUUGUCAAAUUUCAAAUCAAGUCAUAUUUAUUGG